AUUGAACGCUGGCGGCAGGCCUAACACAUGCAAGUCGAACGAGUGGCGGACGGGUGAGUAAUGUCUGGGAAACUGCCCGCUGGAGGGGGAUAAAUACUGGAAACGGUAGCUAAUAGCGCAUACCAUCGGAUGUGCCCCGUUGGGAUUAGCUAGUAGGUGGGGUAAUGGCUCCCCUAGGCGACGAUCCCUAGCUGGUCUGAGAGGAUGACCGGCCCCACUGGAACGGAGACACGGUCCAGACUCCUACGUGAGGCAGCAGUGGGGAAUAUUGCACAAUGGGCGCAAGCCUGAUGAAGCCAUGCCGCGUGUAUGAAGAAGGCCUUCGGGUUGUAAAGUACUUUCAGCGAGGAGGCGUUACUCGCAGAAGAAGCAACGGCUAACUCCGUGCCAGCCGCCGCGGUAAUUC
rnacentral:rRNA from 1 species